rnacentral:lncRNA from 1 species
ACGUUUAAGCGAAGAUUCUUCUCCCGAGAAGUUAAGCGCUUCAUCCGUGAUUAGCAGCAGUGUAUCUUCACCAUCAACCAGUCACAGCAGUGAGGCUCGAUCUAGGAGGGUGGCAUCAGUUCGAACCAAGUCGACUUCAUCUAGUGAAUUAGUGGUUACUGGAUCAGGACACAGCAGUGUAUCGGGACAUUAAGCAGAGAAAUGAAAUGACUCCCUUCUACAGAAAUAUUCGUAAUGGGAGGCAGUUCAACUGAAAAUGUGCUGGAAUAUUGUGAAUUUUGUUUUAUUCAAUUUACUUUUCCUUCUUUUCAUGUAUACCAAAUUCUAAUUCUAUGUAUUGAAAAAAAAUAAAGUUUAAUAAUUAACGUUA